GUUUGAUCCUGGCUCAGGACGAACGCUGGCGGCGUGCUUAACACAUGCAAGUCGAACGGAUCCCAAUCAGUAGCAAUACUGAGGAAGGGUUAGUGGCGAACGGGUGAGUAACACGUGAGAAACCUAUCCUGGUCUCUGGGAUAACAGUCGGAAACAACUGCUAAUACCGGAUGCCGUCGGAGCGUCGCAUGGCGCGCUGACGAAAGGGUUACUGGAUCAGGAGGGUCUCGCGGCCUAUCAGCUAGAUGGUGGGGUAACGGCCCACCAUGGCAUCGACGGGUAGCUGGUCUGAGAGGAUGAUCAGCCACACUGGGACUGAGACACGGCCCAGACUCCUACGGGAGGCAGCAGUGGGGAAUCUUGCGCAAUGGCGAAAGCCUGACGCAGCAACGCCGCGUGCGGAGAAGGCU
rnacentral:rRNA from 1 species